ensembl:rRNA 5S_rRNA 5S ribosomal RNA
AUCUAUGGCCAUAUCACCUUGAAUGCACCUAGUCUUGGAAGCUAAGCAGGGUUGGCCCUGCUUGGUACUUGGAUGGGAGAAGUGACAUGGUCAGACAUGCUUAAUCAGAGCUUUCUGGGACAAGGUGAGGCAUAAAUA